rnacentral:rRNA from 1 species
GACGAACGCUGGCGGCGUGCUUAACACAUGCAAGUCGAACGGUGAAGGGGCCUGCUUUUGUGGGCCCUGGAUGAGUGGCGAACGGGUGAGUAACACGUGAGUAACCUGCCCCCUUCUUCUGGAUAACCGCAUGAAAGUGUGGCUAAUACGGGAUAUUCUGGGUCUGUCGCAUGAUGGGUCUGGGAAAGAUUGCGCCUUUGGGUGUUUUUGGUGGGGGAUGGGCUCGCGGCCUAUCAGCUUGUUGGUGGGGUGAUGGCCUACCAAGGCGGUGACGGGUAGCCGGCCUGAGAGGGUGGACGGUCACACUGGGACUGAGACACGGCCCAGACUCCUACGGGAGGCAGCAGUGGGGAGUAUUGCACAAUGGGCGCAAGCCUGAUGCAGCGACGCCGCGUGAGGGAUGGAGGCCUUCGGGUUGUAAACCUCUUUCGCCAGUGAAGCAGGCCUGCUCCUUGUGGGUGGGUUGACGGUAGCUGGAUAAGAAGCGCCGGCUAACUACGUG